CCAAUAGCGUAUAUUAAAGUUGUUGCAGUUAAAAAGCUCGUAGUUGAAUUUCGGGGUUAGUAAGUUGGUCGUGCCACUGGUAUGUACUGGCUUUACUGAUUCCUCCUUCUUGUAGAACCGUAAUGCCAUUAAGUUGGUGUUGCGGGGAAACAGGACUGUUACUUUGAAAAAAUUAGUGUUUAAAGCAAGCUAACGCUUGAAUACAUUAGCAUGGAAUAAUGAAAUAGGACGUUCGAUCCUAUUUUGUUGGUUUCUAGGAUUGACGUAAUGAUUAAUAGGGAUAGUUGGGGGCAUUAGUAAUCAAUUGUCAGAGGUGAAAUUCUUGGAUUUAUUGAAGACUAACUACUGCGAAAGCAUUUGCCAAGGAUGUUUUCAUUAAUCAAGAACGAAAGUUAGGGGAUCGAAGACGAUCAGAUACCGUCGUAGUCUUAACCAUAAACUAUGCCGACUAGGGAUCGGAUGAUGUUAAUUUUAUAAUGACUCAUUCGGCGCCUUACG
rnacentral:misc_RNA from 1 species